GAUGAACGCUAGCUACAGGCUUAACACAUGCAAGUCGAGGGGAAACGACAUCGAAAGCUUGCUUUUGAUGGGCGUCGACCGGCGCACGGGUGAGUAACGCGUAUCCAACCUGCCCACCACUUGGGGAUAACCUUGCGAAAGUAAGACUAAUACCCAAUGACGUCUCUAGAAGACAUCUGAAAGAGAUUAAAGAUUUAUCGGUGAUGGAUGGGGAUGCGUCUGAUUAGCUUGUUGGCGGGGUAACGGCCCACCAAGGCAACGAUCAGUAGGGGUUCUGAGAGGAAGGUCCCCCANAUUGGAACUGAGACACGGUUCAAACUCCUACGGGAGGCAGCAGUGAGGAAUAUUGGUCAAUGGGCGGAAGCCUGAACCAGCCAAGUAGCGUGAGGGAUGACUGCCCUAUGGGUUGUAAACCUCUUUUAUAAGGGAAUAAAAUACGGGACGUGUCCUGUUUUGCAUGUACCUUAUGAAUAAGGACCGGCUAAUUCCGUG
rnacentral:rRNA from 1 species